GCUUUGAAAAAAGCCGGUUGAUAGUAAAGAAGAUC
rnacentral:lncRNA from 1 species